ACGGAAGGCAGCAGUCGGGAAUAUUGCGCAAUGGAGGAAACUCUGACGCAGUGACGCCGCGUAUAGGAAGAAGGUUUUCGGAUUGUAAACUAUUUUAGACAGGGAAGACAAUGACAGUACCUGUAGAAUAAGCUCCGGCUAACUACGUGCCAGCAGCCGCGGUAAUACGUAGGGAGCAAGCGUUAUCCGGAUUUAUUGGGUGUAAAGGGUGCGUAGACGGGAAAUCAAGUUAGUUGUGAAAGCCCUCGGCUUAACUGAGGAACUGCAACUAAAACUAAUUUUCUUGAGUGCAGGAGAGGAAAGCGGAAUUCCUAGUGUAGCGGUGAAAUGCGUAGAUAUUAGGAGGAACACCAGUGGCGAAGGCGGCUUUCUGGACGAUAACUGACGUUGAGGCUCGAAAGCGUGGGGAGCAAACAGGAUUAGAUACCCUGGUA
rnacentral:rRNA from 1 species